AUUACCACAGUGGAAUUCGGAAGCAGGAGAUGAUAAGGUCACAAUGAGAUGGGUCAUUAGGAGAACCUUGUGGGACAGUGGAGGACAGGAAGGUUUGAGGCAGCUGGUCUUGCCAUAGGAGGGGAAAGCUAAUGAGGCCACCACCCUCUGUAUGCGAGCUAUGGACCUAAUAGUGUUUGUCAGUGAAACACAUCUGAUGAAUUUAAAUUUCACAAGUACACAGUUUGUAACAAAAGUCAACGUGUAAAUGUUUAAUUAGUGCCAAUGUACCAGCAGAGUGUUGUGUGAAUCAGAAGCCAUCCUGAGGGAAAUCAGAUGCUGAUUGGUCCAUUAGCUCUAUGGUGGAAGGUGGACAUGGAAUCAUCUUACAUAGUGAUUUUUUUUUUCACAGAAGUCAAAUGUCAUGACGGGUUUGUCAUAGAGACGUGAAAGAACUGGGAUCAUUGUGAGUGAGCAUUCUAAGGGAGGCUUUGCAUUCAGGAGAAUAGGAACAAGAUGAAGGAAGACCAGCUCUAGUGGCCAAGAACUUAUUCGUCAUCUCUGGGAGCCAGAUUUUAAGGCUGGGACACCGCUACGCAGAAGUUGCCCUGUUACAUGUCUCAAGAUGAAAACUUCCAUCGUUGCUCAUUUCCCUCAGCUCAGUAUAAUUACUGCAGCAGCAUUAGCAAGAACAUGAAGAUUUAUUCAGGAGCACUUACCAUAAGUAGGAUUUAUGAGACAAGACUGGCUUGCCUCACCCUGAGUAGAUGGCUGCAAUUGUCAAGCUGGCUACCUUUCUUUCACGGACUCCCUGGCAAUCUCCACUUUUUCCUUAACUAUGCUUCAUGGAGUGCAGCUCUGGAGUUAGACACUGGGACCUCAAGCAUGCUGAGCAGGCAUUCUACACCUCAACUGCUUCCCCACCCUUUGACUUCACACACCAAAAGGGCUAGCAUUGGGAACAUCAGCAAAGUCCUUGAGGUGCUGUUGCACCAAGCCCGGCCCUGCAGAACAUGCUAGGAGAAGAGUCUGUGUACGUCACUCCUGGGACAUGGACAGAGGCUGGCAUCCACACUGACCUUCCCACCUGGAGACAGGUCAUACCCAGAGGUCUGUAACCCAAGCAUCCCCCAGUGAAUAAGGGAGCAUCACUCUCCUUUCCAGACUGCUCAGAGGAGUGAAGUUUUACUAUGCAGGCUCCUGUUUCAAAGAAUUGGAUGGAUAUUAUAGAAUGCUAGUGUCAAAAACUGACCCUGGAAAUGGCAAUGAAGAAGCCUCUGUCAUGGCUGCACUUUCAAGCUCCAGAUGUUCUCCAUGCCUUCCAAACCAAAUAUCUCUCCCACAUUGCAGCAAGGAGGCUGGCCAUGAGGACACUCAGAAGCUCCUAUACCCGAUGGUUUCAUAAGGCCAUGAAUUCGAUGUAAAAUCCACCCAGUGGUAGUGUUAUGGGAUGUAGCCUUAAUGAUCUUUUAAUAUUUUUAUGUAGCAACAAAAGUAAAUUUUGAGUGUGUUUUUGAAUGU